GUAGGUGGCAAGCGUUGUCCGGAAUUAUUGGGCGUAAAGCGCGCGCAGGCGGUCCUUUAAGUCUGAUGUGAAAGCCCACGGCUCAACCGUGGAGGGUCAUUGGAAACUGGGGGACUUGAGUACAGAAGAGGAAAGCGGAAUUCCAAGCGUAGCGGUGAGAUGCGUAGAGAUUUGGAGGAACACCAGUGGCGAAGGCGGCUUUCUGGUCUGUAACUGACGCUGAGGCGCGAAAGCGUGGGGAGCAAACAGGGAUUAGAUACCCUGGUAGUCCACGCCGUAAACGAUGAGUGCUAAGUGUUAGGGGGUUUCCCGCCCCUUAGUGCUGCAGCUAACGCAUUAAGCACUCCGCCUGGGGAGUACGGCCGCAAGGCUG
rnacentral:rRNA from 1 species